UAAAUAAAAAUUUUUUAUUUAAAGGUUCCCGAAUUUAGGAGAGCUAAUUGUGAAAAAAUUUUAAUGUUGAAAAAUUAUUUAGAAUUUACAGUUAGGAAUAAUAUGUUAGUCAUUCUUUAAUAUAUCUGGUUUUCUAAGAAAUUAAUUUAAUUAAUUUUUUCAAAUAAAUGAUUCUAUUUAUAGAUUUAUUUUUUGAUAAUUUAAAUUUUAAGGGGAAAAGCUUUUAAGAUAAUUAUUAUAAAUAUAAAUUAUUAAUAAAUUAAAUAGGAUUAGAAGUUUUCAUUUUUAGUAGAGUUUAAUAACCAAUUUUAUUUUUAUUUUGAUUUUUUUUAUUUUAAAUUUUUUAUUAGAACAAUUUAUUUAAUAAAAUUUUAUAUAAAAUAAUGAUGAAAUUAGUAAAAAUUUUUUAAGUGGGAUUAUCUUUUGUUUAUAAAAUUUUAUUAAGGAAUUCGGCAAAUAAAUUUUCCGCCUGUUUAAUAAAAACAUGUCUUUUUGUGUAAUAUAUAAAGUCUGGCCUGCCCAAUGAUUUAAUUUAAUGGCCGCGGUAUUUUGACCGUGCAAAGGUAGCAUAAUCAUUAGUUUUUUAAUUGAAAGCUGGAAUGAAUGGUUUGACGAGAAAAUUUCUGUCUCUGUAAAAUAGAUUGAAUUUUAUUAUUUAGUUAAAAAGCUUAAAUGUUUAAAAGGGACGAGAAGACCCUAUAGAAUUUUAUAUUUUUGGAUGUGAAUAUCUGUGGAUUUGGUUUAUUAUUAUAUUUAAAAAUAUUUUGUUGGGGCGAUGGGAAAAUUUAUUAAACUUUUCUUUUAUUUUUUACAUUUAUUUAUGAUUAUAUGAUCCAUUUUUUCUAGUGAUUAUAAGAGAAAAUUACCUUAGGGAUAACAGCGUAAUUAAUUUGGAGAGUUCAUAUCGAUAAAUUAGUUUGCGACCUCGAUGUUGGAUUAAAAUAAUAAUUAGGUGGAGAAGCUUAAGUAAUAAGUCUGUUCGACUUUUAAAAUUUU
rnacentral:rRNA from 1 species